rnacentral:rRNA from 3 species
AAUCCAUAGGUUAAUGAGGCGAACCGGGGGAACUGAAACAUCUAAGUACCCCGAGGAAAAGAAAUCAACCGAGAUUCCCCCAGUAGCGGCGAGCGAACGGGGAGGAGCCCAGAGCCUGAAUCAGCAUGUGUGUUAGUGGAAGCGUCUGGAAAGGCGCGCGAUACAGGGUGACAGCCCCGUACACAAAAGCGCAUGUGCUGUGAGCUCGAUGAGUAGGGCGGGACACGUGGUAUCCUGUCUGAAUAUGGGGGGACCAUCCUCCAAGGCUAAAUACUCCUGACUGACCGAUAGUGAACCAGUACCGUGAGGGAAAGGCGAAAAGAACCCCGGCGAGGGGAGUGAAAAAGAACCUGAAACCGUGUACGUACAAGCAGUGGGAGCACCCUUUGGGUGUGACUGCGUACCUUUUGUAUAAUGGGUCAGCGACUUAUAUUCUGUA